rnacentral:rRNA from 1 species
AUUGAACGCUGGCGGCAGGCUUAACACAUGCAAGUCGAGCGGAGAUGAGGUGCUUGCACCUUAUCUUAGCGGCGGACGGAUGAGUAAUGCUUAGGAAUCUGCCUAUUAGUGGGGGACAACAUUCCGAAAGGAAUGCUAAUACCGCAUACGCCCUACGGGGGAAAGCAGGGGAUCUCCGGACCUUGCGCUAAUAGAUGAGCCUAAGUCGGAUUAGCUAGUUGGUGGGGUAAAGGCCUACCAAGGCGACGAUCUGUAGCGGGUCUGAGAGGAUGAUCCGCCACACUGGGACUGAGACACGGCCCAGACUCCUACGGGAGGCAGCAGUGGGGAAUAUUGGACAAUGGGCGGAAGCCUGAUCCAGCCAUGCCGCGUGUGUGAAGAAGGCCUUUUGGUUGUAAAGCACUUUAAGCGAGGAGGAGGCUACCUGGAUUAAUACUCUAGGAUAGUGGACGUUACUCGCAGAAUAAGCACCGGCUAACUCUGUGCCAGCCGCCGCGGUAAAAC